UGAGGCAGGAGAAUUGCUUGAACCCAGGAAGUGGAGGUUGCAGUGAGCCAAGAUCGCACCACUGCACUCCAGCCUGGGAGACAGAGCGAGAUUCCA
rnacentral:miRNA from 1 species